GAUUCCGAGAUUCUUGUAAGAAUCGGUGCAGCUCUCUCUCUCUCUCUCUCUCUCUUCCCCCACACUGUCUCCCGCUAAAACCCUAAACCCCUUCCUCUGCGCCUGCGUUCCGCCAGGCCGAGCAGAGCGAGACUAUGCGACGGACGCGACCAGGGGAAGCUGCCGGACGUGCCGAUCCCGUCCAUGGAUGUCGAACUGCGGCGUGUAGGGUUCGAAAUUCAGGCCCCCAAGUAAGCCACUAAGCCGCAGCUCAUCGCUGGCGGCACCCAUAUAAAAAAAAAAACGAUCUUUUUCACCUUCUUGCUAACUCGCCGCGCUUGUUGAGCUCCGGUUCGCCUCCGGAAUCUGCCGAAAUGAGCCCCCUUUCGGCGUCUAGGAAACCCAUCAAGACCCUCUCCACCCUCGUCGCCGUCGUCCCGAGACUCGUCUCGAUCGAGACCACCCCCCAAGCCCCGCGCGCCCACGAUCCCGCUCCGCGGGGAUGCGCGGGGCUGCGCCGGUUCUCGCCGUCGUUCUCGACGCAGUCGUCGAAGUACCCGGAAUACGAAAUGCCUUCCGUGACUUGGGGCGUCGUGCAGGGCCGCAAGGAAAAGCUCGUCUCGCGCGUGAUAAUUUGCGAUUACUUGAAGGGGAUAGGGGUAAUUCCGGAUGAAUUGGAGAGCCUGGAGCUGCCCUCGACGGUUGAGGUCAUGAGGGAGCGCGUCGAGUUCUUGCAGAAGCUGGGGUUGACGGUUGAUGAUAUAAAUGAAUACCCUCUGAUGCUUGGUUGUAGCGUGCGCAAGAAUGUGAUACCGGUGUUGGGCUAUCUCGAGAAGAUUGGGAUUCAGAGGUCGAGGCUUGGAGAAUUCGUGAAGAAUUACCCCCAGGUGUUACAAGCCAGUGUGGUUGUUGAGCUAGCUCCGGUUGUGAAGUUUCUCCGAGGACUUGAUGUGGAGAGACAAGAUAUUGGUUAUGUUCUGCAGAAAUAUCCGGAACUAUUGGGGUUUAAGCUAGAGGGAACCAUGAGUACUUCGGUUGCUUAUCUUGUCAGCAUCGGAGUUUGCCCUAGAGAUAUCGGUCCAAUGGUUACCCAGUAUCCGUAUUUCCUGGGGAUGAGAGUUGGGACGGUGAUUAAGCCACUGGUUGAUUACCUGGUUUCUUUGGGUUUGCCGAAGAAAAUUGUCGCGAGGAUGUUGGAGAAGCGAGCAUAUAUACUUGGCUAUGAUCUUGAAGAGACUGUUAAACCCAACAUUGACUGUUUGAUCAGCUUUGGUAUAAGAAGGGAAUCUCUAGCAUCGGUUGUUGCUCAAUACCCACAAAUUCUUGGGCUUCCUUUGAAAGCUAAAUUGUCUUCGCAGCAAUACUUUUUCACUUUGAAGCUCAAGAUUGAGCCAGAGGGAUUUGCUGAAGUAGUAGAGAAGAUGCCACAAAUAGUUAGCCUUAACCAAAAUGUGAUCAUGAAACCUGUAGAGUUCCUUUUAGGUAGAGGGAUACCCUCUGAGGAUGUGGCAAAGAUGAUUGUGAAGUGUCCUCAGUUAGUUGCCUUGCGCGUUGAGCUCAUGAAGAACAGUUAUUAUUUCUUCAAGAGCGAUAUGGGGAGACCUUUGAAAGAGCUCGUACAGUUUCCUGAAUACUUCACUUAUGGCUUGGAAUCUAGGAUCAAACCUAGGUACCAGAGGUUACAAAGCAAGGGAAUCAGAUCUUCACUGAAUUGGUUUCUUAAUUGCAGUGACCAUAGAUUUGAAGAGCGGAUGGAGGCUCAAUAUAUUGAAAGAGAUUUUGAUGGCCCAUCUUUUUGUAUUGGAGGAAAACUAGAGCUACCAGGGGGUCAGAUAGUCUCAGAUGAGGAAGCUGAGAGUGAUGAUGAAGUACUUUACCGAAGAACCGUUUCUCUUUAAAAUCUUGUCAGUUGUGACUAAAAAGGAUUGUCCCUUUUGAGUGCAGCAUUUGGUGUUUUUGCUCUUAGUGUCUUAUGUGCUGGUCUAUCUUGGCCAGGUCAACCAGGUCACCAUAUAUGACGAGGUCUUAUGUAAUUUUUCGGGGUUCCUUGAUGCUUGUGUUUCCAAGAAUAACAAGAUAUUUUUCGUGGCCUGGUUGUUCAUGGUAUUGACUCGGCUACCAGUGGAAUGUUAAGAUUCUUUAUGGCAGACAUGGAAAGUGAAGUUAUUUUAGUGUCUAUGGCUGGCUGGACAGGAAAACCUGAUUAGUGGAUUCUCUAAAAUGCGAUAUAUGUCAUGCUCCUCUUCCACCAUCAAUUAUUUGCCAUCUCCUUCCGUACUUUAUUCUGGGAUGAUCCCGCCCUCGAGUAAUAUUCUAGAGAUGUCGCUGCAAGUACCUGCUGAUUUAUGUCUUGUUGAGGAUUUUUUGCUGGAGAUUGGUCCCAGACUGACUCUGAUGAGCUUCUAAGUAUGGACGUUAGGCAUGAUAGGCGAAGCGUGGUUUGAUCAAACAAAUGGUGGGCAACUGAUUUAUUGAAAGGGAUGGGGUCUGCUGGAUUCCUGCAGCCAGAGUUCAUAUGGAGGUGACUUUUGUACCAUCAAUACUAGAAGCAAAGAAUGGCAUGUGCAAUUCGGCCCAAACAAGCAGAUAAAGGAUGAAUUUCUGCAGCUACUCUUCUGUUUGAAGAAAGCGAGCUACUUUGGUGUGGAUUCCUUGCUGGAACCUGUUGGAAAUGAUGGAUGGAAGGACUCGGAGGUCAUGAUUUUGGCGGCGUCGUGAGUUCAUCAAGAGCUUGAAGUAAUGAUUGUCUUUUCCGUUUUAUUGGUAGGACUGUUGGUGAUACUUGUCUGUCAAUCAUUCUGUGGCAUGUUCAUAAUAAACUCGUGACCUAGGUUGCGUUUGUUCCGUAGAAAACUCAAUGAUAAAGGACAAUAUUUUUCGAAAAA